AUGCUCUCUUUGGCAGCACACAUACUAAAACUGGAACUCUACAGAGGUUAGCAUGACCCUUGUCAAAGAUGAUAUACAAAUUCACAAAACAUUCCAUAUUUCU